rnacentral:misc_RNA from 1 species
CUAGAAGCUCUCGCCGCCAAUAGGAGAACAUGUUCUUUAUCAACCCCUUUAGCGAAAACCUCGAUGAGGUUCUUAUCAACACUGAGUUUGUUGAGCGUCAGAGUCCCUGUCUUAUCACUGCAGAGUACAUCCAUCCCUGCCAUCUCCUCAAUUGCGGUCAUUCUUUUAGUAAUGGCACCUUGCUGAGACAGCCUGUGGGAUCCGAUCGCCAUGGUAACCGACAGCACAGUUGGCAUGGCAAUCGGUAUCCCUCCAAUUAGAAGAACCAGUAGAUUGUCAAUUCCGUUUCGGUAGCUACGUUUCUGG